rnacentral:rRNA from 1 species
AGUGAACGCUGGCGGUAGGCCUAACACAUGCAAGUCGAACGGCAGCACAGUAAGAGCUUGCUCUUACGGGUGGCGAGUGGCGGACGGGUGAGGAAUACGUCGGAAUCUACUUUUUCGUGGGGGAUAACGUAGGGAAACUUACGCUAAUACCGCAUACGACCUACGGGUGAAAGCAGGGGAUCUUCGGACCUUGCGCGAUUGAAUGAGCCGAUGUCGGAUUAGCUAGUUGGCGGGGUAAAGGCCCACCAAGGCGACGAUCCGUAGCUGGUCUGAGAGGAUGAUCAGCCACACUGGAACUGAGACACGGUCCAGACUCCUACGGGAGGCAGCAGUGGGGAAUAUUGGACAAUGGGCGCAAGCCUGAUCCAGCCAUACCGCGUGGGUGAAGAAGGCCUUCGGGCUGUAAAGCCCUUUUGUUGGGAAAGAAAAGCAGCAGGUUAAUACCCCGCUGUUCUGACGGUACCCAAAGAAUAAGCACCGGCUAACUUCGUG